rnacentral:lncRNA from 13 species
UGGAAGCUGACAAGUCCAAAAUCUGCAGGCUGGGCAGGUGUCACAGUACAGUGAGGCAAGAAGCAUACCCGGAGCAAUCAAAGCAGGACUGGACAUGAUCGACCGACAAGACUGGUCGUUGCUGCCGGUGGGCUAAACCAAAGAGAAGCUGUAUGAGGACCUGUUCAGGGAAGUCUUCACCAAAGCUGAUCGUGCUGGCACUCUAAUCUUGGACUUCGUUUCCAGAACUAUGAGAAAUAAAUGUCUUAAG